rnacentral:rRNA from 1 species
UACGAAGGGGGCUAGCGUUGUUCGGAUUUACUGGGCGUAAAGCGCACGUAGGCGGGUCGUUAAGUCAGGGGUGAAAUCCCGGAGCUCAACUUCGGAACUGCCUUGAUACAGCACGUCUUGAGUCCGAUAGAGGUGGGUGGAAUUCCUAGUGUAGAGGUGAAAUUCGUAGAUAUUAGGAAGAACACCGGUGGCGAACGGCGGCCCACUGGAUCGGUACUGACGCUGAGGUGCGAAAGCGUGGGGAGCGAACAGGAUUAGA